rnacentral:rRNA from 1 species
GAAGCAGCUUGCUGCUUCGUCUGACGAGUGGCGGACGGGUGAGUAAAGACAGGGAAACUGCCUGAUGGAGGGGGAUAACUACUGGAAACGGUAGCUAAUACCGCAUAACGUCGCAAGACCAAAGAGGGGGACCUUCGGGCCUCUUGCCAUCGGAUGUGCCCAGAUGGGAUUAGCUAGUAGGUGGGGUAACGGCUCACCUAGGCGACGAUCCCUAGCUGGUCUGAGAGGAUGACCAGCCACACUGGAACUGAGACACGGUCCAGACUCCUACGGGAGGCAGCAGUGGGGAAUAUUGCACAAUGGGCGCAAGCCUGAUGCAGCCAUGCCGCGUGUAUGAAGAAGGCCUUCGGGUUGUAAAGUACUUUCAGCGGGGAGGAAGGGAGUAAAGUUAAUACCUUUGCUCAUUGACGUUACCCGCAGAAGAAGCACCGGCUAACUCCGUGCCAGCAGCCGCGGUAAUACGGAGGGUGCAAGCGUUAAUCGGAAUUACUGGGCGUAAAGCGCACGCAGGCGGUUUGUUAAGUCAGAUGUGAAAUCCCCGGGCUCAACCUGGGAACUGCAUCUGAUACUGGCAAGCUUGAGUCUCGUAGAGGGGGGUAGAAUUCCAUGUG